rnacentral:lncRNA from 1 species
ACUUUUCAGGUCCUCUCGCCGUUGUCUGACUCCAUCCUGGCUGAGAAGACGGUGAUUGUCCUGGAUGACCGAGUCGCCAUCGUGGAGCUGGGAGUGCAGCUCGUAGCUGGCAUGUCUCUCUCCCUGCAGCCACACCGAGCAGACAAAAGGGCCAUCGUCUCCACAGCCGCUGCCCUGGAUGUUCUUCUGUCCCCACAGCAGGUGAGCAUUCCAGGGAGAUUUAUUAACCUGAGGAUUUUUCAGUUGCUGUCUUAUCAUUGGAUGAAAUGGUGGUGUCUGUCCAGGCAAACCUUGAGUCCAAAUGGUUGGUAGUGUUUGCAGAAGGUGAAGGACAGGUGCCCUUGUUUAAAUUAGAAAUGAUGAUUAGUGAGCUUUUCAGUGGGCCAUAUACAACUCUGUCCUGUUUGACAGUGAUGAUAUCAUCAAGUGGGUCUGCCAAGGUAUGCAGCUGGGGAAAUCCCAGGACUUUGGAGACUGCAGUUGGCCCUCUGCAUUUGCGGUU